AUUGAACGCUGGCGGCAGGCCUAACACAUGCAAGUCGAGCGCGCGUCGGACGGGUGUGUAAUGUAUGGGGACUGCCCCAUAUAGGGGGAUAACUCCUGUAAACGCUAUCUAAUACCCCAUACUAUCGGAUAACCCAUAUGGGAUUAGCUAGUAGGUGAGGUAAUGGCUCACCUAGGCGACGAUCCCUAGCUGGUCUGAGAGGAUGAUCAGCCACACUGGGACUGAGACACGGCCCAGACUCCUACGGAGGCAGCAGUGGGGAAUAUUGCACAAUGGGCGCAAGCCUGAUGCAGCCAUGCCGCGUGUAUGAAGAAGGCCCUAGGGUUGUAAAGUACUUUCAGUCGGGAGGCGUUACCGGCAGAAGAAGCACCGGCUAACUCCGUGCCAGCAGCCGCGGUAAUAC
rnacentral:rRNA from 1 species